rnacentral:rRNA from 1 species
UACGUAGGGUGCGAGCGUUAAUCGGAAUUACUGGGCGUAAAGCGCACGUAGGCGGCUUUGUAAGUUAGAGGUGAAAGCCCGGAGCUCAACUCCGGAAUUGCCUUUAAGACUGCAUCGCUAGAAUCAUGGAGAGGUUAGUGGAAUUCCGAGUGUAGAGGUGAAAUUCGUAGAUAUUCGGAAGAACACCAGUGGCGAAGGGACGACUAACUGGGACAUGUAU